CGCCAGUCUGCAUGGAGCCGACCUUGAAAUACCACCCUUUAAUGUUUGAUGUUCUAACGUUGGCCCCUAAUCGGGGUUGCGGACAGUGUCUGGUGGGUAGUUUGACUGGGGCGGUCUCCUCCUAAAGAGUAACGGAGGAGCACGAAGGUUGGCUAAUCCUGGUCGGACAUCAGGAGGUUAGUGCAAUGGCAUAAGCCAGCUUGACUGCGAGCGUGACGGCGCGAGCAGGUGCGAAAGCAGGUCAUAGUGAUCCGGUGGUUCUGAAUGGAAGGGCCAUCGCUCAACGGAUAAAAGGUACUCCGGGGAUAACAGGCUGAUACCGCCCAAGAGUUCAUAUCGACGGCGGUGUUUGGCACCUCGAUGUCGGCUCAUCACAUCCUGGGGCUGAAGUAGGUCCCAAGGGUAUGGCUGUUCGCCAUUUAAAGUGGUACGCGAGCUGGGUUUAGAACGUCGUGAGACAGUUCGGUCCCUAUCUGCCGUGGGCGCUGGAGAACUGAGGGGGGCUGCUCCUAGUACGAGAGGACCGGAGUGGACGCAUCACUGGUGUUCGGGUUGUCAUGCCAAUGGCACUGCCCGGUAG
rnacentral:rRNA from 1 species